GACGAACGCUGGCGGCGUGCCUAAUACAUGCAAGUUGAGCGCUGAAGGUUGGUACUUGUACCAACUGGAUGAGCAGCGAACGGGUGAGUAACGCGUGGGGAAUCUGCCUUUGAGCGGGGGACAACAUUUGGAAACGAAUGCUAAUACCGCAUAAAAACUUUAAACACAAGUUUUAAGUUUGAAAGAUGCAAUUGCAUCACUCAAAGAUGAUCCCGCGUUGUAUUAGCUAGUUGGUGAGGUAAAGGCUCACCAAGGCGAUGAUACAUAGCCGACCUGAGAGGGUGAGGGGCAAAAUUGGGACGGAGACCGGCCCCAACCUCCGACGGGAGGAGGCAGUAGGGAUUCUGGGGAAAUGGACGAAAGUCGGACCGAGCAACGCGGGGGGAUGAAGGAGGUGUUCCGGAUCAAAAACCUCGGUGGGGGGAAAAGACCGUGGGGGAGAGGGAAAACCUCAUAAAGGGAGGUAAACUACCAAAAAGGGGACGGCAAAAUCGGGC
rnacentral:rRNA from 1 species